AACCGUCUAUUGUUUCAAAAUCUCAAUAGAAGAACGAUACCCACCACUAUAAAUUCAUAGAUGAUGGUGGCGGUUUAAUAUACCUACCGGGCAUUUCUCUCACUAGAGAUGCAAUGCGAGUACUCCCCAGAAGAUGGACAAACUUAUAUGCGCGGUGGUAAGCACACAUUUAAAUAAAAAAAUGUGCGGGUAGGAUCGGGCUGAAAACUUUACUCAUCACAUCAGGUCGAAGUACCGUCAACUAAGAGGGGGUGAUGGGUUGCAACAUAAAAAAAGGCAGAAAAAGGAUAAAAAAUUUUUGAAAGGGCGUGACUGUAAUUUACAGCAUGUAAAAAAAGAAAACAAAUUAAGACAUGCACACAUCGCCCGCACCCAACCAGAAAUG
rnacentral:rRNA from 1 species